GCAAGAUUAAUCAGGUAAAGAUAAGAGCUCUUAAUUUUCAUCAAUUAGUAUCCGAUUUCAUUUCAAAGUAUUUUGAAUUUAAUAGGUUGAUGUGAUGAGUGUGCCCAUAAAAUCAUUUAGAGAAUAAUAUUUUGCUAGUUCCUAACGUGCCUCUCAUUGGUCUCCACCUUCCUAUUGGUUCUUUUAAAAUAAACACUGAUGCUUCAGUGUCUCAAGCAAGCAAUU
rnacentral:misc_RNA from 1 species